rnacentral:rRNA from 1 species
CCUACGGGUGGCAGCAGUGGGGAAUAUUGCACAAUGGGCGAAACCCUGAUGCAGCGACGCCGCGUGAGUGAAGAAGUAUUUCGGUAUGUAAAGCUCUUUUAGCCGGGAAGAAAAUGACGGUACUUGAUUAAGAAGCCACUGCCAACUACGUGCCAGCAGGCUCGGUAAUACGUAGGGGGCAAGCGUAAUCCGGAUUUGCAGGGUGUAAAGGGAGGGUAGACGGAAGCACAAGUCUGGGGUGAAAUGACGGGUCUUAACCCCUGAACUGCUGUUGAAACUGGGCAGCUAGAGUGCAGGAGAGGUAAGUGGAAUGCGUGGUGUAGUGGUGAAAUGCAUAGAUAUUAGGAAGAACACCAGUUGCGAAGGCAGCUUACUGGACUGUAACUGACGUUGAGGCACGAAAGCGUGGGGAGCAAACAGGAUUAGAUACCCUAGUAGUC